AUGGAGGCCGUGGUGAGCGCCUCCCAUGGCGCCGUGCAGAUCCUGUUGGUGAAGCUCGGCAACGUCCUUGCCACCAAAUACGCACUUCUCAGUGGCGUUCGCGGGGAGAUCCAGGAGCUCAAGGACGAGCUCGAGAGCAUGACCGCCUGCCUCCUUGAGCUCGCGGAUGGCGAUGAUCACAACGAACAAACUAGGACUUGGAUGAAACAAGUGAGGGAAGUCGCGUUCGAUGUGGAGGACUGUAUGGACAGGUUCUGCCAUCACCUCAGCGAGCACCAUGGAGACCGUAAAGGACUCCUCGAAUACCUCCAUAGGAUGUUCAACAUGGUGCGGACAUUGAGGGUGCGGCACACAGUGGCCACCGAUAUCCAGGGCCUCAAAUCUCGUGCCCAGAAAGUGAGCGAAAGGAGGCGCAGGUAUGAUCUAGGCGAGUCGGCUGGACGGUCAAGCAAAGUGCUUGAUUCUUCUUCGUACAGCCACCAUGACAAUCUGGACCGCUGGCUGCCAGCAAUCCAUGGUGACGGGUCUGGGCUAGUCGGGAUGGGCAACAUGACUCAUGCCGUGGUGAGGCUGCUCAGUGAGAAACGCCAGGCGGCGGCAGGUCCCCGAGUGCUGUCCAUAGUGGGUUUCGGUGGCCUCGGCAAGACCACCCUCGCCACGACCAUCUACAGCACUCCAAAGUUGGGUGGCAUCCAGUGCCGUGCUUUCAUUCCGGUGUCCCAGACAUACGAUUUCCGUUCUCUUCUCGAGUCCGUGCUGAAGCAGCUUUCGACUUUGGCUGACAGUGAUAAAGAUGACGAUCCCCUCCGGAACAUUAAAAAAUGGACCAUAAGCGACUUGGUUGACAAGAUCAAACAAUGUUUGAAGCGUAGGUACCUGAUCGUUCUGGAUGACGUUUGGCAAGCAGCUGCAUGGGAUCAGCUAAAGGUAGCUUUUCCUCAUGAUAAUGGUGAAGAGGGCAGCAUAUUAAUUACUACACGCAGUCACGAGGUGGCAAAAAAUUGCUGCACCUCUCCCAAUGAUCCUGUCUAUGAAAUGAAGCGGUUACAGAUGGAUGAUUCACAGCAGCUAUUCUUCAAGACGGUCUUUGAGUCAGGGAAAUGUCCGAACGACCUGCUGAAAGUCUCCAAUGCCAUUUUGGCAAGGUGUAACGGUCUACCUCUAGCUAUAGUGAGCAUAGGACGAAUGCUAGCUCGGAGGCAAAACAAGACAUCGGCAGAAUGGCAAACAGUAUGUGAUAGGUUGGGUUCUGAACUAGAGACAAACCCCACUUUAGAGGGAAUGAGACGGAUACUUUCUCUCAGCUACAAUGAUCUUCCAUACCAUCUGAAAGCAUGUUUCUUAUACCUGUGUGCUUUCCCAGAGGAUUUUGUGAUCAGAAGAGGCUCUCUGAUUAGACGGUGGGCAGCCGAAGGCUUGAUCAUUGGAAUGUAUGGCCGCAGUAUGGAAGAGAUUGCUCAGAUUUAUUUGGACGAGUUUGUGAGUAGAAGCAUCGUCAUCCCUGGACAGAUUGGCAGCAGUGGCAAUAUUAGGAGUUGUAAAGUCCACGACAUAAUGUUAGAAGUCAUCAUCGCCAAAUCUGUCAAGGAAAUUUUUAUCUCAUUCCUAGGGAGCAGCCAAUACAGCACAACAGCAGGCCAUGACAAGGUACGACGGCUCUCCAUCCAUCCUGGUGGCGGCAAGGAGAAGAGAACAUUUUCCAGUAAAAACAUAGUUCAUACCCGUUCACUGUCAAUUCUGGGCAGCACUGAGAAACCUGUACCCAUCAAAUUUGCUGAUUUGACACUUUUAAGGGUUUUAGAUCUUGAAGGAUGUGGAUGGUUAAGAGAUCAAGAUAUGAAGGACAUUUGCAAACUGCCUCUGCUGAGAUACCUCAGCCUUAGAAACACAGCCAUAUGCCAACUACCAGAUGCAGUAGGGAAACUUAGAGACUUGGUGACACUGGAUGUAAGGGAAACUAAGGUCGUCGAAUUUCCAAAAGGCAUUACUCAUCUCCAAAGUCUGAAUCAUCUGAUUGUAGGCCGUUAUGCAUAUUACACAAGGACACGAAGUGUGAAGCAUUUCUUGUGGAGUGGAGGAGCGAAGGUACCACUUGGAUUAGGGGAUAUGCAUGCUCUCCAGAGAAUCUCUCAUGCCGACAUCUCCACAGAGAAAAGCUCCCGUGCAAUGCGUGAGCUGGGAAAAUUGCGUCAGUUAACCAGACUUUGUGUAAUUAACAGGAAGGAAGCAAAGUUUUGGGAACCCUUUGCUGAGUCUUUGAAUGAGCUUAGCAGCUCUCUUCGCCAUCUAAUGGUUGUGGACGGUUCACUGGAAGGCACGGAGCUGGAAUUUUUAGUUGGCCUGAAGAAUGCCCCUGUGUUUCUGCAGAGCCUCCAUUUGGGGGGACGGCUCAGGAAUCGUUUGAGGUUCUAG
rnacentral:rRNA from 1 species